CUGCUCUUCCUCCACCUUGGUGUCCUUUUUUGUUGGCAAAGCAUCUGUGGCAUCCUUAUUUUCAGAUAUGGACGAAUCAGAUGACAUCUCAUCUUUGAUUUCUUCUUGAAGAAAAAAACACAAACUUAAGAUGAGACCUCUUCCUGAUCCUUCUUCACCAGGAGUGCUGGAUCGAUUUGAGUCUUCAACAGCCCAAGGAUCUGAGCCAGGUCGUCUCUAUUUCUGCAUUGGACAAUAAAGUUUGUUUUCAAGAAAAUUAUACACAGACUUGCCAAUUUUCCUCAGUAACUUCACGUGAAGGUCCACAAGGAGUUUAGGAACUGGGGACACCAUGUAUUUAGAAAUUAAUGCGAGCAUAGAAGAACAAUUAACAUUCAAACAAGCCUCUGACACAUUCGUGUACACAUACAGUUGAAGUCAGAAGUUUACAUACACUUAGGUUGAAGUCAUUAAAACUAAUUUUUUAACCACUCCACAGAUUUCAUAUUAGCAAACUAUAGUUUUGGCAAGCCAUUUAGGACAUCUGCUUUGUGCAUGACAAUUAAUUUUCCAACAAUUGUUUACAGACAGAUUGUUUCACUUUUAAUUGACUAUCACAAUUCCAGUGGGUCAGAAGUUUACAUACACCAAGUUAACUGUGCCUUAAAGCAGCUUGGAAAAGUUCCAGAAAAUGAUGUCAAGCCUUUGGACAUUUAGCCAAUUAGCUUCUGAUAGGAUAACUGGAGUCAAUUGGAGGUGCACCUAUGGAUAUAUUUUAAGGCCUACCUUCAAACUCAGUGCCUCUUUGCUUGACAUCAUGGGAAAAUCAAAGAAAUCAGCCAAGACCUACACAAGUAGGUCAAAAGUCUCAAAAAACCUGGUUCAUCUUUGGGAGCAAUUUCCAAAUGCCUGAAGGUACCACAUUCAUCUGUACAAACAAUAGUACGCAAGUAUAAACACCAUGGGACCACGCAGCCAUCAUACCGCUCAGGAAUGAGACACAUUCUGUCUCCUAGAGAUGAAUGUAGUUUGGUGCAAAAAGUGCAAAUCAAUCCCAGAACAACAGCAAAGGACCUUGUGAAAAUGCUGGAGGAAACAGGUUGACAAGUAUCUAUAUACACAGUAAAACCAUUCCUAUAUCAACAUAACCUGAAAGGCUGCUCAGCAAGAAGAAGCCACUGCUCCAAAACCACAAUAAAAAAGCCAGACUAGUUUGCAAGUGCACAUGGGGACAAAGAUCUUACAUUUUGGAGAAAUAUCCUCUGAUCUGAUGAAACAAAAAUUGAACUGUUUGGCCAUAAUGACCAUCAUUAUGUUUGGAGGAAAAAGGGUGAAGCUUGCAAGCCAAAGAUCACCAUCCCAACUGUAAAGCAUGGGGGUGGCAGCAUCAUGUUGUGGGGUGCUUUGCUGCAGGAGGGACUGGUGCACUUCACAAAAUAGAUGGCAUCAUGAGGAAGGAAAAUUAUGUGGAUAUAUUGAAGCAACAUCUCAAGACAUCAGGCAGGAAGUUAAAGCUUGGUCGCAAUUGGGUCUUCCAAAUGGACAAUGACCCCCAAGCAUACCUCCAAAGUUGUGGCAAAAUGGCUUGAGGACAACAAAGUCAAGGUAUUGGAGUGGCCAUCACAAAGCCCUGACCUCAAUCCGAUAGAAAUUUUGUGGGCAGAACUGAAAAAGCAUGUGCGAGCAAGGAGGCCUACAAACCUGACUCAGUUACACCAGUUCUAUCUGGAGGAAUGGGCUAAAAUUCCAGCAACUUAUUGUGAGAAGCUUGUGGAUGGCUACCCAAAACGUUUGACCCAAGUUAAACAAUUUAAAGGCAAUGCUACCAAAUACUAACAAAGUGUAUGUAAACUUCUGACCCACUGGGAAUGUGAUGAAAGAAAUAGAAGCUGAAAUAAAUCAUUUUCUCUACUAUUAUUCUGACAUUUCACAUUCUUAAAAUUAAAGUAGUGUUCUUAACUGACUUAAGACAGGGAAUGUUUUCUACGAUUAAAUGUCAGGAAUUGUGAAAAACUGAGGUUAAAUAUAUUUGGAUAAGGUGUAUGUAAACUUCUGACUUCAACUGUAGCAUUAAGGAUUAGGGAAACUGAAACUGAUAAAACAAUAAUGAUUCUGAAUUAAUGUAAUUUUUCUGUUGUGUAAUUUUUUUUAAAUAUGCACAUUACGUUUGCACUGAAUAUAACUGCACAGUGUGUAUGGUCAUUAUAUUGCAUAUAUAAUGUUGCUGUAAU